GAUGAACGCUAGCGGGAGGCCUAACACCUGCAAGCCGAGCGGUAUUGUUUCUUCGGAAAUGAGAGAGCGGCGUACGGGUGCGGAACACGUGUGCAACCUGCCUUUAUCUGGGGGAUAGCCUUUCGAAAGGAAGAUUAAUACUCCAUAAUAUAUUGAACGGCAUCGUUUAAUAUUGAAAGCUCCGGCGGAUAGAGAUGGGCACGCGCAAGAUUAGCUAGUUGGUGAGGUAACGGCUCACCAAGGCGAUGAUCUUUAGGGGGCAUGAGAGGGUGAUCCCCCACACUGGUACUGAGACACGGACCAGACUCCUACGGGAGGCAGCAGUGAGGAAUAUUGGUCAAUGGGUGCAAGCCUGAACCAGCCAUCCCGCGUGAAGGACGACUGCCCUAUGGGUUGUAAACUUCUUUUGUAUAGGGAUAAACCUACCCUCGUGAGGGUAGCUGAAGGUACUAUACGAAUAAGCACCGGCUAACUCCGUGCCAGCAGCCGCCGUAACAC
rnacentral:rRNA from 1 species